AGGUUCGUAGUAUCACGUGAUGCAGGCAAAACGCUGCUGAAGGAGUGCGGAUUCUGCUGCUAAAUUCACGGAAAAUGGUCGUAUUGUCCCAUCCUAUCGAAUGUCUUCCGACGUAGAUGAAACGAGAAAAGUAUAAGGCAUGUUUAGGGUUCUUCAAAAUCUCCCACAAAGAUUGUUUAAGUCCUACCAUGGAGGUGUCUACUGGGCCAAUAGAGGGCAGCCUGUUGCUGAAUCUCAGCGAAAGAAGCAUCAGGAUAAGAUAAUUGUCGUCUCUUUUCCAAGUCAUGAACUUGGUGCGAGUCUGCACACCAGCAGCAGACUUGAGAAGGUUGGACACCAAGGAAGUUCUGAUGAAGAAUGGCAAAGGAGUUUCAAGCAGAGGAUAGAAUGGGAUUCCUUCCGUAGGUCCAGCUAUGCAUCUGAAGCUCUGGGAUGGGGCUCCAUCAUUGUUCUUGGCCUUCAGCUUGGCCGCUUCAUCUCUACAGGACCACCUGGUGAAAAACAGAGGAGGGGCCAUGAGCGUCUGCUGUCCUCUAUUGCUCAUGUCCUACCAUGUCCGUAUUCAUCAAGGCAUGUAUCACAUCGGAGGAGCAUUCUUCCAGAGGAAGAGGCAAGCAAGAAGAGGAGCCAUGAUAUGUCUCAAUCUUCUUCAGAUGAAAGUUCAUCCUACUUGUUAGAUGAAAGCCCAUAUUGGGAUUUCAAGCCUUCUGAUGUUCAGCCGGGUGGACUUCAGAAGACGAGCAAUGAGAAACCAUCUCCACCAUCAUCCGUCUCUCCAACAACCCAGGUUCCUUCAUUCAAUCAGUCAAGUGAUUCAUCCUUCCCUUCAUCCUCCUCCAUCCCAACUGGUAUCCCGCCACCAUCUGCGGGGGAAUCUAAAGUUCCAUUCGACCAGGUGACCCGGCAGUGCUGGGGUCGGGUCAACAACAUCAUCGGAGGUCACCUGAUGUCGGAAGGAGAUGAAGAGAAAGCUGUCCAUCACUUCAAGAUUGCCAGUCAAUCAGGUUACAGCAAAGGACAGUACAACCUUGGCAUGUGUUAUGAACUUGGCAAAGGAGUUCUUCAAGAUGAUGUACAGGCUGCUGUGUUCUUUGGCCUGGCUGCCGAGCAGGGUCAUUCACACGCCCAGUAUAAGCUAGGCACAUAUCACCUGGAUGGGAGGGGUAAUGUGAAGCAGUGUGAACAGACAGCAUUAACCCUCAUCGCACAGGCAGCUGAAGGUGGUGUGGUUCAGGCCCAGAGUUACCUAGGUAUGUACUACAUGACUAGUGAAGAACCUGACCCUCAAAGGGCUGUGGCUUAUCUUCAAGAAGCUGCACACAAAAAGGAUGCUGAAGCACAGUACCAUCUUGGAUUAUGCUAUGAGUAUGGAUGGGGUGUUGAAACCAAUGAAGCAAGGGCAUCUAGUCUUUAUCACUCUGCAGCAAGCAAAGACCAUGCUCCUUCACUUUAUUCAUUGGCUCUCUUACAUGAACAAGGUUUAGGAGGUUUACCAGAGAAUCAAUCUCAUGCAAAAGAGCUCUUCAUCAGGUCCAGCUCAUUGGGUUAUGAAAAGGCUACAGAGAAGCUUCUUGAGAUGGAUGCAGAAGAAAGAGGACUCCAUAGAUUCAGACUUGAUUCAAACUCGACUUUGAGCUCAGACUCAUGGACCACAAGCUCUGAGUCAGGCUCUGAGACUACAGGAGGAAGUGGAUCUCUUUUCAGUCCAUUCUCAAGCAGCAGUAUAGACUCGGAUAUAUCAAUAUGUUUUGAUGCGGGAGCACCGAUGUGUUUAGACUUGAAAACUCUACUUCCUCCCGCCAGUGGGAAUAUACAUGUAUCAUCCAGCGCACCUGAACUCAACGACAUGAAGCGUGUAUCAGACCUGGGAGGGGGUGGAGACAGGUCUCCUGUGAAUUCCAUCCUGCAUAGUUUGUCCUGUCUGACCUUUUCUACACUGCAUGAAGGGUCGAAGGUCAAAGGUCAGUCUGAUGGAGAAUGGAUGCUAGGUACUCGGAGAUUGACCUUUGGUAUGUCAGGAGGUCAGGAUUCUGGAGGAUCAGAGAAAGUCGUCUUUCAGCUUGGAUGUCUUGAUGAAGAGGAGAAUAUUGACUGGUGUGAACCCAUUGAUGCCAUUGCUCAACAGAGACUAGUAUCAUUCAAGAGAUCUACAGUUGUCCUGUAAUUCAAUGAAGGAAAUUAAAUAUAAUCACCGAUUGUAAUAUAAAUAUGUGUAUUUGUAUAUGUUGCAUUGCCUAUAGACAUUAAAAGAAAUUUGCUUGAAGAUGAAAUGAUAGUGGUUCCUGAAUCAGACAUUCAUGAUCAUAGCUCUAACGCGUAAUUGGUUUCAAUUAAUUAUAUUUUGGUGCCUGUGUUAUUGUGGAUACAAAAUCAUUUUAAUGUGUAGGAGCUAUAUUUUCACCUUUUGGCAAUUGCUGAAUUUUGGGGCAAUUUUUUCAUUUCAAGUCUGUACCAUAGGAUAACUAGAAAUUAUGCAUUAAAUACAGAUAUCUUUAUUCGGCUUCUGCUUUUAUGUAGAAUAUUGAUUCUCUAAAUAUUUUUGAAUAUUUCUGGUAGAUCUUGGAGUGACUUGUGGGUACUUUAGGGGCAAUAUAUACAGUUCUAAGCAUUAUCUACUCUUAUUUCAAUAUUCACACAUGGUAUGAAAACUUGUAUUUUUAUUCAAGAAUAGUUUGUCCCUCCUUCGUUUAUCAACGCACAAAAUUACAAUUCUAUCAUUAUAAAUAUGUAUGGUAUAUUACCACAGUGCUUCAUUCUUAUCUUCUCCCUUGAUUUUGACAUGGAUGUAGAUACAAAAACAUCACACUGUUCGAGUGGUUCCACGACUUUUGCUGCGGUGACAUUACUCCGAUGCAAAAUCUACAUGUUAAAGCCAAAGAUAAAACCUAACCUCCAAAACUAAAUAAACCGUAAUCCUUAUCUUUACAUUAUUCUGGGCCCAAAAGUCUAUUACAAUCCCAACUGUAACCCUAUGGAACAUGCUGGUCUUCAGUUCCCAGUGGAAACUAUGCUCUUUUAAGACUGAAGCAAAUGUAUCACCCCCCCCCCCUCCCUAAACAAUAGGUUCGCUGAAUGUAUCUAAGUCUAACCCAGUGUCUUCCACAGUACUCUUGUCCUAUAAAUUUUAUGUUCAUAUGUGUAUUCAUUUAAAAAAAAACCAUAGAUACUUAUACUAUGUAAUAGUAUGAAUAUCCUAUGUAAAUUCUAUUCAAGGUACAAAAGCUUCUUUUUGAAAACGUUGCUUUCAAUUUUCUUAGAGUAGCUCUGACAUAGUUUUCAUCCAUUCUUUUAUAAUUAUAAGAAAAUAUUAUUAGUUUUGAAAUGUAAAAUCAUUAUGAAGUUUGUCAUGUUCAAUAUAUCUUCAAGAAAUCGAUAGAUUGAUGUAUGUUUUUAAGAAUAAUUUCUAAAUAAUCAGCUCUUGUAUAUUGCAUAUAACCUUCCAUUUAAUGUCUCUCUUCCAGUGGGAUUUUGGAUAUUAUUACUCUUGUUUUAGCCCAGCAAGUAUUUCAAGGAGUAAAUUCCUUCUAGGUACCCAUUUACCUCACCUGGAUUGAGUGCAGAGCAAUGGGGAUGAAUUAUUGCUUUUCACCGUGGUUAGAAUUCAAACAUAACUGUCUGUUCAAAGUCAGGAGACUGAUCCACUGGGCCACGAAUGCUUAUUCUUUAAACUUCUUGCCAUGUUUCUUACAGACUGUCUUUGGGGGUUCAUCUAGAUUUGAUAAUCUCUUCUCUCUUUUUUCAUAACUAUUAACAUAAUAAAGUUAUCAUAUGCCAAAUUCACAUUUCACACUAUCUACUGGCAGAACUCUAUUCACAAGUACUUUCGAGUUUAUCUCAAUGGGAAUAGUUCAUCUCAAUGAGUGUUGUCAAUUGAUCUACAGUGUAAACGCUAUAGUGUACUAUGUAUAGCGUUCAUAAAUGCCUUAUUUAUUAUAUAAUGGGAAAUACAUUUACUAGUUUGACAAAUCGUGGAGGUCUAAAGCUUGUUUUGAGUUAUGAUACUUGAAACUAAGGUUAAUCAAUUCAUUUGAUAUUAUUGUAGUUUAUUGUGUUGACAAAUUUAUUUUUUGUCAAGUGCUAUCUAAGUUCCCAAAUCUGCUGCAUAUUUUUAUUUCAAUCUUGUGUUAAUGGAGAGUAAAGAGUGAAAAAUAAUUUAGAGGAAAGUCCAUAUAAUUAUAAUUCAAAUUUAUGUUGAAUAUAUUUUUUGAGAUCUUGUAUCAGUGUAAAAAGAAAACUUCCCCCUAAUAAAGUCUCUUAAAAGUUAAA